rnacentral:rRNA from 1 species
AUACGGGGAUUUUUAAUUCAAGUGGCGGACGGGUGAGUAACACGUAAGAAUUUGCCUUUAGGAGGGGGACAACAACUGGAAACGGUUGCUAAUACCCCAUAUGCUUUUGAGUGAAAUGGAUUUUUCCGCCUAAAGAGAAGCUUGCGGCUGAUUAGCUUGUUGGUGAGGUAAUGGCUCACCAAGGCGACGAUCAGUAUCUGGUUUGAGAGGAUGAUCAGACACACUGGAACUGAGACACGGUCCAGACUCCUACGGGAGGCAGCAGUGGGGAAUUUUCCGCAAUGGGCGAAAGCCUGACGGAGCAAUCUCGCGUGAGGGAUGACGGCCUAUGGGUUGUAAACCUCUUUUUUCAGGGAGGAACAAAAUGACGUGUACCUGAAGAAUAAGCAUCGGCUAACUCCGUGCCAGCAGCCGCGGUAAGACGGAGGAUGCAAGUGUUAUCCGGAAUCACUGGGCGUAAAGCGUCUGUAGGUGGUUUGAUAAGUCAACUGUUAAAUCUUGAAGCUCAACUUCAAAAUCGCAGUCGAAACUAUUAGACUAGAGUAUAGUAGGGGUAAAGGGAAUUUCCAGUGGAGCGGUGAAAUGCGUAGAUAUUGGAAAGAACACCGAUGGCGAAGGCACUUUACUGGGCUAUUACUGACACUCAGAGACGAAAGCUAGGGUAGCAAAUGGGAUUAGAUACCCCAGUAGUCCUAGCCGUAAACAAUGGAUACUAGAUGUUGAACAGAUCGACCUGUGCAGUAUUAAAGCUAACGCGUUAAGUAUCCCGCCUGGGAAGUAUGCUCGCAAGAGUG